ensembl:lncRNA
GUUGUCUUAGGUCUCUCUUUAUGUAGUGUUGUCUUAGGUCUCUCUUUAUGUAGUGUUGUCUUAGGUCUCUCUUUAUGUAGUGUUGUCUUAGGUCUCUCUUUAUGCAGUGUUGUCUUAGGUCUCUCUAUGUAGUGUUGUCUUAGGUCUCUCUUUAUGUAGUGUUGUCUUAGGUCUCUCUUUAUGUAGUGUUGUCUUAGGUCUCUCUUUAUGUAGUGUUGUCUUAGGUCUCUCUAUGUAGUGUUGUCUUAGGUUUCUCUUUAUGUAGUGUUGUCUUAGGUCUCUCUUUGUGUAGUGUUGUCUUAGGUCUCUCUUUAUGUAGUGUUGUCUUAGGUCUCUCUUUAUGUAGUGUUGUCUUAG